AUUCAACUGACAAGUCCUAAAUAGGACAAAACGUGUGUCCUGAAC
rnacentral:hammerhead_ribozyme from 1 species